GGGCGCACGGUGGAUGCCUUGACACUAGGAGUCGAUGAAGGACGGGACUAACGCCGAUAUGCUUCGGGGAGCUGUAAGUAAGCUUUGAUCCGAAGAUUUCCGAAUGGGGAAACCCACCAUACGUAAUGGUAUGGUAUCCUUAUCUGAAUACAUAGGGUAAGGAAGACAGACCCAGGGAACUGAAACAUCUAAGUACCUGGAGGAAGAGAAAGCAAAUGCGAUUUCCUGAGUAGCGGCGAGCGAAACGGAACAUAGCCCAAACCAAGAGGCUUGCCUCUUGGGGUUGUAGGACAUUCUAUACGGAGUUACAAAGGAACGAGGUAGACGAAGCGACCUGGAAAGGUCCGUCGUAGAGGGUAACAACCCCGUAGUCGAAACUUCGUUCUCUCUUGAAUGUAUCCUGAGUACGGCGGAACACGUGAAAUUCCGUCGGAAUCCGGGAGGACCAUCUCCCAAGGCUAAAUACUCCCUAGUGAUCGAUAGUGAACCAGUACCGUGAGGGAAAGGUGAAAAGCACCCCGGAAGGGGAGUGAAAGAGAUCCUGAAACCGUGUGCCUACAAAUAGUCAGAGCCCGUUAACGGGUGAUGGCGUGCCUUUUGUAGAAUGAACCGGCGAGUUACGAUCCCGUGCGAGGUUAAGCUGAAGAGGCGGAGCCGCAGCGAAAGCGAGUCUGAAUAGGGCGUUUAGUACGUGGUCGUAGACCCGAAACCAGGUGAUCUACCCAUGUCCAGGGUGAAGUUCAGGUAACACUGAAUGGAGGCCCGAACCCACGCACGUUGAAAAGUGCGGGGAUGAGGUGUGGGUAGCGGAGAAAUUCCAAUCGAACCUGGAGAUAGCUGGUUCUCCCCGAAAUAGCUUUAGGGCUAGCCUUAAGUGUAAGAGUCUUGGAGGUAGAGCACUGAUUGGACUAGGGGUCCUCAUCGGAUUACCGAAUUCAGUCAAACUCCGAAUGCCAAUGACUUAUCCUUAGGAGUCAGACUGCGAGUGAUAAGAUCCGUAGUCAAAAGGGAAACAGCCCAGACCGCCAGCUAAGGUCCCAAAGUGUGUAUUAAGUGGAAAAGGAUGUGGAGUUGCUUAGACAACUAGGAUGUUGGCUUAGAAGCAGCCACCAUUUAAAGAGUGCGUAAUAGCUCACUAGUCGAGUGACUCUGCGCCGAAAAUGUACCGGGGCUAAAUACACCACCGAAGCUGCGGAUUGAUACCAAUGGUAUCAGUGGUAGGGGAGCGUUCUAAGGACAGUGAAGUCAGACCGGAAGGACUGGUGGAGUGCUUAGAAGUGAGAAUGCCGGUAUGAGUAGCGAAAGACGGGUGAGAAUCCCGUCCACCGAAUGCCUAAGGUUUCCUGAGGAAGGCUCGUCCGCUCAGGGUUAGUCAGGACCUAAGCCGAGGCCGACAGGCGUAGGCGAUGGACAACAGGUUGAUAUUCCUGUACCACCUCUUUAUCGUUUGAGCAAUGGAGGGACGCAGAAGGAUAGAAGAAGCGUGCGAUUGGUUGUGCACGUCCAAGCAGUUAGGCUGAUAAGUAGGCAAAUCCGCUUAUCGUAAAGGCUGAGCUGUGAUGGGGAAGCUCCUUAUGGAGCGAAGUCUUUGAUUCCCCGCUGCCAAGAAAAGCUUCUAGCGAGAUAAAAGGUGCCUGUACCGCAAACCGACACAGGUAGGCGAGGAGAGAAUCCUAAGGUGUGCGAGAGAACUCUGGUUAAGGAACUCGGCAAAAUGACCCCGUAACUUCGGGAGAAGGGGUGCUUUCUUAACGGAAAGCCGCAGUGAAUAGGCCCAAGCGACUGUUUAGCAAAAACACAGCUCUCUGCGAAGCCGUAAGGCGAAGUAUAGGGGGUGACACCUGCCCGGUGCUGGAAGGUUAAGGAGAGGGGUUAGCGUAAGCGAAGCUCUGAACUGAAGCCCCAGUAAACGGCGGCCGUAACUAUAACGGUCCUAAGGUAGCGAAAUUCCUUGUCGGGUAAGUUCCGACCCGCACGAAAGGUGUAACGAUUUGGGCACUGUCUCAACCAGAGACUCGGUGAAAUUAUAGUACCUGUGAAGAUGCAGGUUACCCGCGACAGGACGGAAAGACCCCGUGGAGCUUUACUGUAGCCUGAUAUUGAAUUUUGGUACAGUUUGUACAGGAUAGGCGGGAGCCUUUGAAACCGGAGCGCUAGCUUCGGUGGAGGCGCUGGUGGGAUACCGCCCUGACUGUAUUGAAAUUCUAACCUACGGGUCUUAUCGACCCGGGAGACAGUGUCAGGUGGGCAGUUUGACUGGGGCGGUCGCCUCCUAAAGUGUAACGGAGGCGCCCAAAGGUUCCCUCAGAAUGGUUGGAAAUCAUUCGUAGAGUGCAAAGGCAUAAGGGAGCUUGACUGCGAGACCUACAAGUCGAGCAGGGACGAAAGUCGGGCUUAGUGAUCCGGUGGUUCCGCAUGGAAGGGCCAUCGCUCAACGGAUAAAAGCUACCCCGGGGAUAACAGGCUUAUCUCCCCCAAGAGUCCACAUCGACGGGGAGGUUUGGCACCUCGAUGUCGGCUCAUCGCAUCCUGGGGCUGUAGUCGGUCCCAAGGGUUGGGCUGUUCGCCCAUUAAAGCGGUACGCGAGCUGGGUUCAGAACGUCGUGAGACAGUUCGGUCCCUAUCCGUCGUGGGCGUAGGAAAUUUGAGAGGAGCUGUCCUUAGUACGAGAGGACCGGGAUGGACGCACCGCUGGUGUACCAGUUGUUCUGCCAAGGGCAUAGCUGGGUAGCUAUGUGCGGAAGGGAUAAGUGCUGAAAGCAUCUAAGCAUGAAGCCCCCCUCAAGAUGAGAUUUCCCAUAGCGUAAGCUAGUAAGAUCCCUGAAAGAUGAUCAGGUUGAUAGGUUCGAGGUGGAAGCAUGGUGACAUGUGGAGCUGACGAAUACUAAUAGAUCGAGGACUUAACCAU
rnacentral:rRNA from 1 species